rnacentral:RNase_P_RNA from 1 species
CAGGCUGGUCGGGCAAUCGCGGUCCUGCGUUGACGGGAUCGAGGAAAGUCCGCACUCCUAUAGAGCACGGCGUCGGAGAGUACCCCGGGGCGGGGAAGCCGCCGAGAGGCGUGAACCUGCCGGAAUGGGCCACAGAAACAGUCAGCGACCCCCACCCGUCCUCUCCCAAAUUCCUUCGGAAUUUGGGAGAGGCGCCCCGCAAGGGGCGGAGGGGGCGUGAUGGUGAAAAGGUGGUGUAAGAGACCACCGGCGCAUGUAGUAAUACAUGCGGCCAGGCAACCCCCGCCGGGAUUACGCGCCCUUCCCUCCUGUGGGUUGGGUCAGUCCCGGGUAGGCUGCACCGAGCGGAGCGGCGACGCUCCGCCCAGAGAGAUGAUUGCCCAGGUGGAAACACCGGACAGAAUGCGGCUUAUAGACCAGCCUGGAGC